rnacentral:rRNA from 1 species
GGAGACAACCAAAAUGCCAGUGCUGUCUAGGCCACCUGAGGGAGAUAGUUAGGGAGCGAUCGGGAUGGAGCAGAGGGCAGAGGCCAGCGUCGGCGGCGGUGUGGACCGCUGGGUACGCGUCAUGUGGGUGCGGCGGCCUAUCGGGGCGGUGGGUAUGGACAGCAGGGGACGCGGUGGGUAGGGACGGAGCGGCGCGGGCGGCGGAGGGGAAGUGUGGCGGCGGGGGAGCUUGACAAAGGAUGUAGCUAACAGUUCUUACGGGGUCGACGGUAUCGGAGGCGGCGGCUACAGGUCGACUCUGCGCGGUUCCUCUAGAGCGCUGAGGCGGUACAGCUACUCAUGGGGUGAACUGCCGAACGAGGGCGGGGGGCGCGUCUAGGAGAAGCAGCGGUUGCUCUCGAUAAGUGGCCGGUCUAAGGUAGUCUCUCCUCCUCCAGGUGGCCGGUCUAGGACUAGGAGGAACGUGGUGGCGGCGCAGCGACGGGGUUACGAGGUGUGCUACGUGGCGGUGGGCGUAGGGUCUUUAAAAAGCUAGGUUAGAAGCAGAGCGACAGAGCAGAGUGUCGUACGGCGGAGGGGAAAAGUUCUACCCCUCGAGCUCGUUGGAGCUCGUUGACGGCGGCGGCGGCAGUGCAUACCGGGACGCUCGAGCAUGUCGUACACGGGGCGGGAGGGAGGAGGAGGGGACAGUCGGUGCUUCCGAUACGGGCAGAUACCUAAGAGUCAGAGUACCUUACGAGUGGAAUCCGAGACAUGACACCCAUCGAACUGCAACAACUCCGAGAGCUUAUAACAACUAGCUCAGUUACCUACAAAGGACCAACGAGAAUACCACUCCUAAUCCAUGAAGAGAAGCUGCUACUACAGUGGUUGUGUUGUCUACAUCGAACGCCUAGGGUGUCGUACUGAGUCUACGACUGCUACUUGGCCUGAUGGGCAACAUUAGACUUGUGGAUUUCUUCCACUCCCGCCCUGAACUCCCUCCCGCACCAACAACCUCCUGCGGCGGCGGCGGUAGCACCUUGAGAUCCCAGUCCCCCACCAGACGCCAGUCGCUCCUGGCCGUUCCGGCACAGUUAGCAAGGGAUGUAGCGCCUUGUAGUGUUUAUAAAUGUAAGACAAGCAAAAGACUUAAAAAGACAAGUAAAGACAUAAAGGACUAGCAAACAUACGAAGUGGACAGGACUUGUAGCAAAGAACGUCGCUCCUCGCCGCGUUCCGGCACGGGAUGUAGUGGCUUGUAGUGUCCAUAUAUCUAUGUUACACUCCCGCGACCUGCGUGCGAGUUACUCUCCCUGGAGACGGUCUUUAGUCAGCUGCGGUAACGGGUCCAGUACGAUGGUCGGGCGUGGUUUUUAAGUAGGCGGCUGCUCACCCUAACUAUACGUCAUCCUGCAGGUACUGUUCGUAAGAACCCUAUUUAUCGGAUACUUCAGUUCUGAGAUCUAUACCGGUUUGAAGACAGGUCCGGCGUACCACCUCUCUCCUAUGAGUUGAAACCUCCUGUCACAGAGUUACCGCUAGUUGACGCCUAAGAAUAACUUCCUGAUCGCUUUUUACUUAAUGACAUGGUAUGUUUAAACAAUUGUCAAAAGUCCCUUAUACCAUGGCGUACUACCUCCUACCAUCUUUUAGUCUAGAUUCAAACGUGGUUUACACUGAAACGGAAACAGUAUACCUUUACAGAGUGCGGCUACGAUAUAGAUUGUGACUGUAAGCCGCUUCAAAGUACGGCAGUGGGAUAACCCUCGCAACAGUAACUCUAGCCCCCAGCAACAAGCACGGAGUCGCUCCACAAUCCGAACAAGAUCCGAGUACAACAUAGAAAACUAGAUGAAACAUUCCCCUGGAAGGGUGAUAUAACAUAGCAAGCUAGCACAUGAAACCAAGCAACGAAUUUCGCCCCACUUUCGGACAAGGCUCUCUCCCUAUUCACGGUUAGCCGGUCCAAAGACUAGGACCGCGUACACGAUUCAUGGCUCACAACCACGAAGGGAUUCCCCUGCUAGUUCCUCGUAUUGUUUCUACAUCACUGUUUUUAUAUCGCCGUAUCAAAUAAUCUAGGCUACCAGACUACCUCUUCCUACUUAUCUCCUCUUUUUUUUGUGUACAUAUAAUCGCUCCACUCACAUCUUUCUUUGCAGAACUUUUAUCUUUACUCCUUCCGUUUUCAAGGGAGAUCUAUCUCUUUCCUCUGAUUAUAACGCCAAGAAAUAUAUUGUUAUCAUUUUGUUACACACAAACGUAUUAUAAAUAUAAUAGGUCACCGUUGUAUACAUGUAAAAUAACGAAACCAUUCCUUCCAUACAUGUAGAAAAGAAUUUAUAAUCAUAUAAACAAAUAGGCAUAAUAACGGUCAUCGUUGCGUGCCCGUAAAACGAUCAAUCUGUAAAUUACAGGUUGGUAGCCAGCCGUUAUCCGCGUAUGAAUAGGGUGGUAGCCAGUCCUUUGUAAUGGCUGGCUGAUAACGAACCCGGUCGCAGUUUUGCGGGCGCGCAAGCCAACAAACACCGUCGCUUUUUCCGAAUCGCGGUUGGUCGGGUUUUAUAGGAAGAUGUAAAAGAAACGAAAGGGGAGGUCGGUGGUGUGUGAUAAGGAUAAGGGGGGUGGAGGCCGCUGACGCGGCGCUGAGAGAAUAGGAAAACAGGCCGCUCGGCGGGAGGUGAGGCGCCGGCGCGGUAGAUGAGGAAUGGACGGAGUGGAAUAGGGGAGGAGGGUAGAGAGGUGAGACGGAGAGUCACGAGGGCACGAGGAGACCGCGGGCGAGGGUCUAGACCGGCGGAUCCCAAGCGACGGCGGAUUCUACCGGUGGUACCUCGAGCUGCGGCGACCUAGGCCGCCGGUUCAGGAACUGGUCUACGGCGCCAGUUCCUCCUCCGUCCCAGUUCUUCUCCGCCGCGGCAGGGUCCGACCACGCUCUUCGCGCGACCAGGAGGAAGGCCGGUCACCGAUGGAACGAGAUCCGAACGAGGACCCCAUUACAACUCGCUGCCGCCGCCGCUUUUAGUGGACCCUGCGCUUCCUCUUCGUACCACAGGCUGGUAAUCCCCAUCCCUUCGUACCUAGGUCACCGACGUUGAUUAAAGACCCGAUUAAGCUCGACGGAGGAACGGUGGUACCGGAGUCCACAUUCGCCCACUGCCACAACGAUUUUGAGUUUCGGUGGUUACGUUGAGGGUGUUGAGCUGGUAUGGAGUCCGAACUAUAAGAAGGAAUUAGGGUGCACAAAGAUAACCUUUCAUGAGAUACCAAUUGCCUAACAAGGAAAGUACUACACGCAUCGCUCUAACUAUUAAAAAGCCUUUACAAUUGCGGGUGUGCACACCCACAAACGUGUAGCGGGUGUGCGGAGGUAGUGGUGAGUAAAACGGUACAUACUUAUCUACUGUAGUCGUCUUAAAAAAAACCAAAAGCCGAAUUUUUACAACAUAGAGGAUUUAUUUUUUCGCUUGAUUUUUAGGCAAAAGUGGUAAUUUAGGCAGAGCUGCUCUAGAAGUUUUGAUCUGGGGUACAACUAUACAAAACUGCUUAAAAAAAAACGGUCUUCAACGGUGCUACAAAUGUGACGUCAACGGUAUCCCGAAUUUGAUUUCAACGGUACACCGUUAAAAUCAAAUAUCUAGUACCGUUAAAAUCAUAAAACUACUACCGUUGAGGUCAUGAAACUGGUACUUUUAAUAAAAAACAUACUUGGUACCGUUAAAAUGCACGUACAUAGUACCGUUAAAAUCAAAUACCAAGUACCGUUCAGAUCAAAGAAUUAAGGGGCAAAAUAUUUACAAUUUUAAAUGAAAAUUUACAUCUUCUUUUAUCGACUUUGUAUAGUACCGUUGAAGUCACAUUUGUAGUACCGUUAAGUAUACGUUAUCUGUACUGUUGAAAAUUAGGUUAAAAAAAAAGUAGUUUUGUAUAGUUGUACCCUAGAUCAAAGCUUCUAGAGUAGCGCUCCCUAAAUUACCACUUUUGCCUAAAAGUUAGCCUAAAAAGCAAAUUCUCUAUUUUGUAAAAUUUUUGACUUUUAGGUUUUUCUAAGGACGUACAUACGUACGCUACUGCACCGUUAGACAAAUGUAAUCUCUGCACACCACGCAGAGGGAAGGACGGUAUGCACACCGUCAAUCGCGCUGGGAUUAAAAAAUCAUGCCCAACUUGUGCAGAAUCCAACCAGUUUGAUAGGACUAUGAUCGUACAUAUAGGUAUAUCAGGAAUAAGGAAUUCGUCUAACUAAAAAAGUUCAUUAACGGAAUUAUCGUCUUUUAUCACAUGGCUACUUAUCUUAUUAUACUUAUAACGGGACAGAUUGUCAAGUAGAGAGGUACGAGACCGUUCACGACGAAGUAGGGAGUUUAACUGACUACAUUGGUCUAAUUUUAACAUGCGUGUGCUCUUUUUUUCUAGCGGUUAUACGUGUAGGUGGCAUUGUUUUUUACAAACUCGACCAUCAUAUAUCAUAAACUCGUUUUACAAAACAUAUCUAUAUUUAUCCACCUUGAGCCGUUAGUUGUUAAUGAUCUUUUGAUGACCGACCGAUAUUCAAGUCGUUGUACAUAAGGAGUGAUCAAUUCGUAUAACUGUUCAUCAUAGUACUAAUGAAACAAGAAAUAUGGAAAAAGCAAGCACUUUCAUUUCGGAAGGACGUCUCACUAGUUGAUUAAAACUACCAUUAAGUGUAUAUAAGACGAACUGGUUAAAACGUCCUUCGGUUACAUGUACCCUAAAUACUUCAUAUUUAAAGACAGAGAUACGAGGUACACUAAACAAAUCAAAUAAAAAUCUGGACCCGUGAAAAUAGUUUACCUCAAGUUAGGUCGUGACUUUGAGACAAGGUCAUAUAAUGAUAUUGAGAGACAAGACAUGUCAGUAACAAUAAAGUUUGUUCUGACUGUUAAAAAUAGUACCCUGUACAUAACCAGGAAUUAUUCACAGUUUACUUGAAUGAGGAAAGGAUCGGUAGCUACGUUAGGUUUACAAUUCUACGUGAUAAAUUCACUUGUAUCUAACGAAUACGUCCACGUAUGACAUGAUGAAUGACGCCGAAGACUUAAAUACCUAACACAUGUUUCAAAAGUAACAAAGACGUCCUCUCUAUACGUACUCCUGAUUAUUUGUUCAUCGGCUCCAAGCGAGGUUGACCUACAAAACAUAUAAAAAUGUAACCUGUAAGUGGAGAAUCGAUAGGAAAACACUCAGACUACAUACCACAGAGCCUGUUACUUAGUCUUUAUUAUCAUGGUGGUUCAAUGGAAAACACUUGGACUACAUACCACAGAACCACUAAUACAAACCUUGUUUACUUGAUAUACAUACACAGUCAAUUACCUUAUCUUUUACAAAC